AGAUUGAACGCUGGCGGCAGGCCUAACACAUGCAAGUCGAGCGGUAGAGAGGUGCUUGCACCUCUUGAGAGCGGCGGACGGGUGAGUAAAGCCUAGGAAUCUGCCUGGUAGUGGGGGAUAACGCUCGGAAACGGACGCUAAUACCGCAUACGUCCUACGGGAGAAAGCAGGGGACCUUCGGGCCUUGCGCUAUCAGAUGAGCCUAGGUCGGAUUAGCUAGUUGGUAGGGUAAAGGCCUACCAAGGCUACGAUCCGUAACUGGUCUGAGAGGAUGAUCAGUCACACUGGAACUGAGACACGGUCCAGACUCCUACGGGA
rnacentral:rRNA from 1 species